AUGCUGAUUCUGCUGCUCCUCCUGGUGCUGGCUUUGGGGGUGGCCUUGGCUGUGCAGUCAGGUAAGGGAGGGGCAGCAGCCUGGGCCCAGCCCCUCGGGGCAGAGCGGGCUCCCUGCUCCCUGCAGAGGGGAAUGCUCAGACCUUCUCCUCUUCCCCCUGCAGCAACACAGGUUCCAAUUACACCUGAGACUCCACAGUGUUUCUGGGCUGUCCCCCUGGCUGGGUUGGGUACAAUGGGGUCUGCUACUACUUCUCAAGGGAUUACAGCACCUGGGAGCAGGCUCAGGAACGUUGCUCCCAGCUCAAUGCCUCCCUGGCCAUUGCCAAGGAUGAGGAGGCCAUGGAUUUGCUCUUCCGCCUCCGCGGGAACGGCGAUUUCUGGCUCAGGCUGCGCAGACGGGGCGAGCGCCUGCAGUGGGAGGACGGCAGCAGCUACAGCUCCCGGGUUCCUGUCCUCGGCAAUUCCCAGUGUGUGUACCUGGCUGACGAAAAUAGAUUGAAGAGUGAGUUCUGCUCCAAUGAGCGGCCGUAUGUCUGCAGCAAGGCCCAAGCUCCCCUGUAACAGGGGCUGCAGAAAGGACCUUCUCCACGCUGGGCAGUGCCAGCUUCACCCCCAGUGCCAAGACUGGGCUGGGGCUGCAAAGGAAAAGUCUCUGCAAUCCAUCCUGCUACCGAUGCUGCCUGGAGUGAGUGCACUGCCCUCAUGACACAACAAGCUCCAACGGGAAAUCCAAACCUGCCUGGCCUCUUGAAAAUCAUCACAAACUGGUCUGAAUGUGACACUUUUGGACUGUCUUUGGAAGAGGAGGAAGAACCGCUGACACGUGCUGAGCAGCAGUCUAUCGGCAUCAGGCACCUGACUGUGGAGAAUAGUCUGUUGUCUGUCUGUCUGCUGUGAAGGAUCUUAACUGUCCUCCUGUGGGAGGAAUCCCAGGCUGGAGCAGGACAAGGAUUUGUCUCUCGGAGGGAGAAGCAGUGACAGGAUGUGACUGUAACCCCCACCCCUCUGUGCCACUGUGUGGGGAGGAGGGAGGGAGGGAACUGGGGAGAAAGUGAAGCCCAGAAAGGAGAAAACAGUGUGGAGAAGAUGCAUUUUUAAGAUUUGGCGUACAUCUCAUUCCCUUGCUCUGAUUUGUUUGAGAAUAAAUUCAAUUAAAUUUAAUUUCCCA
rnacentral:lncRNA from 1 species